rnacentral:rRNA from 1 species
UACGGAGGGAGCUAGCGUUGUUCGGAAUUACUGGGCGUAAAGCGCACGUAGGCGGCUCAGCAAGUCAGGGGUGAAAUCCCGGGGCUCAACCCCGGAACUGCCCUUGAAACUGCUAAGCUAGAAUCUUGGAGAGGCGAGUGGAAUUCCGAGUGUAGAGGUGAAAUUCGUAGAUAUUCGGAAGAACACCAGUGGCGAAGGCGGCCAACUGGUCCGGCACUGACGCUGAGGUGCGAAAGCGUGGGGAGCAAACAGG